rfam:Schistosoma curassoni strain Dakar, Senegal genome assembly, scaffold: SCTD_scaffold0005890
UCACCGAUGAAGAGUCCCAUACUAGGACGAAACGGCCGUCCAGUGC